UACGGAGGGUGCAAGCGUUGUCCGGAUUUAUUGGGUUUAAAGGGUGCGUAGGCGGCUUAUUAAGUCAGUGGUGAAAUCCGACAGCUUAACUGUUGAAAUGCCAUUGAUACUGAUGAGCUUGAGUGCAGACGAGGUAGGCGGAAUUGAUAGUGUAGCGGUGAAAUGCAUAGAUACUAUCAGGAACACCGAUUGCGAAGGCAGCUUGCUAGGCUGCAACUGACGCUGAGGCACGAAAGCGUGGGGAUCAAACAGG
rnacentral:rRNA from 1 species